UUUUGCUUUUCCGUUCUGGUGAACCAGCCCAGGUCGGAGAUGGAGCAGGUCAAAGCUCCCGUGCUGAUCAGUAGUGGGAUCGCACCUGUGAAUAGCCACUGCACUCCAGCCUGGGCAACAUAGCGAGACCCCGUCUCUAAAAAAAA